rnacentral:ncRNA from 2 species
UAACUGAAUAGUCAAACAGGUGCCCCGCAGGGGGAGAAUAGGGAAGUCCGGACGGGUGGCAUACCACCCGGAAACGGCGCGGUCCCGCCACUGUAGUCGGGGAGCUUAUCCCGGUCACUGGCCCACCACUCACUGUAUCCAGUGGCACGCUUGUUCAGCAGUAACAUAGUAACGGUAUGAUCAAGCGAUGUCACGGGUGAGUGCUGGCCGGGAAGGCCUGGAUAAAUAGCGAUGAUCCGUUAGCCAGGAGACCUGCCUGUUUGAGGGAUGGUCG